rnacentral:lncRNA from 1 species
UCAGGGUAAUUAUGGAAUUGAUUUUUUUUGAGGGGUUUGUACAAAAUUUUCCCUGAAAAGAAUUCUGGCUCCUAAGCCGCCUUUUCCUUAGUGAAGUUAGUCCACUUCCAUAUGCUUUGUUUUCUCAUGAAAGACGGUGUUCUCAAACUUUGAAUGACUGCUUCAGUAUCACAAUAAUGAUUCAUUGGUAAUAGAACUUUAACACCCAGAUCCACCAAUAUUCUCUAAACUUACCUAAUUUCACAAGUACCUUGCGCCAUGUAUUCUAGUUAGCACUUGAUCUGGCCAGUGCAUUCCUUUUUUUUUUUUACUCUUCCAGGAGACCAAAUAACCACCGACAAAAGUACAUACCUCGUAGUUGACCUUCCUUAAGUCUGGCCCAGCCCAAUCAACAUCAGUGUAGACUGUAACAUCCAUAUGACCACGAUCGGUAAAUGACAACUCUCCAUAGAGAAGACUUGAGAUACUAUAGAAUAAACUGGACAACAUCAAAAU